GCUUUGCAGACCGUUUCCUGCUUUUGGAGCAGUCUAUGGUUUGCACUGAUUCAUACCGCACCAGACUGAGAUAAAUACAGCAAAUUCAAACUUCUGCGCCAACGUCUGGAUUCACUGAAGUUGCUUGUUGUCUAACCAUCCCACCGUGGAAUAGAAGCAGCUCAGAUAAAUCACUGGACGCAACAAAACUGAGAUGAAAUUCACACCGAUGAUGAAAGCAGACGCUUCCAGCUGCAUGAGGUGGUGGUGGAAAGAGCGAAGAGGGAAGAUGAAGGGGGGUCUCUUUUGAAGGCUUACUACCCCCAAAACCUCCUCUCCUCCCCUGAUGAAAGUUAAAUGGUUGAAGUAUUCCUGUUCUGAGAUGUGAUUAGCAUGUCACACA